rnacentral:rRNA from 1 species
GCGCUUUCUGGAUAGGCCAGGAAGCAUGCCUCUUUGAGCAUCGUUUUCACCUCUGCUCGACUGCGCUCUUUCUAACGAUCGAGCUGCGUGUCGGAAAAUGAGUUUGUCUUACUCUAACCGAGUAAGUCACUUGAAAUGCGGUGAGUCUCUAACCUCUCAUCAUGAAAGUGAAAGCAGCAAUGCUUGCCGUUUAUGCGGUUGUUUAAUCACGAGUCAAUGGUGUUGUGGAUAAUCAUUAUUCAACAAUACUGCUGAUAAGGCGAUUGAACGCUCAAAUCGUAUCUAUGGUCAACACCUUCUGAGUAAACUGAGAUCUCAGUGGAAAUUUAUACAACUAAUUCUUGAAUUAGAUCUCAAAUGAAGCAAGAGUACCCGCUGAACUUAAGCAUAUUAUUAAGCGGAGGAAAAGAAACUAACAAGGAUGCCCUCAGUAACGGCGAGUGAAGCGGGCAAAGCUCAACCUGAAAAUCGGGUAUCCAAACGGGUGCUCGAAUUGUGGGCUAGAGACGCGUGAUCAGUGUGUGACCCAGAUAUAAAUCUUUUGAAACAAGGUAUCAUAGAGGGUGAGAAUCCCGUCUGUGAUCUGGAGUUCGCCGCGUACGAUCCGUGUUCGCAGAGUCGAGUUGUUUGGGAUUGCAGC